CUUGACGACCAUAGAGCGUUGGAACCACCUGAUCCAUCCGAACUCAGCAGUGAAACGAUGCAUCGCGAUGGUAGUGGGGUUUCCCAUGUGAGAGUAGGUCAUCGUCAAGA
rnacentral:rRNA from 1 species